rnacentral:misc_RNA from 1 species
GAUGAAGAACGUAGCGAAAUGCGAUAAGUAAUGUGAAUUGCAGAAUUCAGUGAAUCAUCGAAUCUUUGAACGCACAUUGCGCCCGCGAGUAUUCUCGCGGGCAUGCCUGUCCGAGCGUCAUUUCAACCCUCAGGGCCCGCCUGCUUGCAGGCGCGGCGCUGGUGUUGGGGAUCGGCUACCCUGCCGUCCCCCAAAUACAGUGGCGGUCUCGCUGCAGCCUCCCAUGCGUAGUAGCAACACUCGCAUGCGGAGCGCGGCGCGGCCACGCCGUAAAACCCCCGACUUUCUGAACGUUGACCUCGGAUCAGGUAGGAAUACCCGCUGAACUUAAGCAUAUCAAUAAGCGGAGGA